GUAGGUGGCAAGCGUUGUCCGGAAUUAUUGGGCGUAAAGCGCGCGCGGGCGGGUCCUUCAAGUCUGAUGUGAAAGCCCACGGCUCAACCGUGGAGGGUCAUUGGAAACUGGGGGACUUGAGUACAGAAGAGGAAAGCGGAAUUCCAAGUGUAGCGGUGAAAUGCGUAGAGAUUUGGAGGAACACCAGUGGCGAAGGCGGCUUUCUGGUCUGUAACUGACGCUGAGGCGCGAAAGCGUGGGGAGCAAACAGGAUUAGAUACCCCUGGUAGUCCACGCCGUAAACGAUGAGUGCUAAGUGUUAGGGGGUUUCCGCCCCUUAGUGACUGCAGCUAACGCAUUAAGCACUCCGCCUGGGGAGUACGGCCGCAAAGGCUG
rnacentral:rRNA from 1 species